rnacentral:lncRNA from 1 species
GCCUCUUCUCACUGCUGUCCUGUACUGGGCAGGGCUUCACCCUUGGCCUCAGCCCUGGCCCUGCCUCACUAAACGCUGCUGCGUCUCAUGACCUAUAACUUUCAAGAACAUAUGGGAAAAGACUCGACAGUGCCCUUCAUCCCUGAAGAAUUGCAGAAGAACUGUGCAAAAGAAAAUUGUACAGAAAUCACUUUAGUCAACCUGGGACUACACCCAUUUGAUGUCAAGUUUCUCUGGAGGCAAGACCAUUAAAGGGACAUUACAACAUCUUAAUAUCUUCUGACAGGUCUGCUCUUAUAAGAAAAAUGCCCACCAUAUCAACACUGGCGAUGAAGAAUUUUUUCUUCGAUUUCAUCCAUCUAUGUAAUUUUCCACUGAUUCUAACCAGACACAUGCACGGUGUGGCAGAAAGAAAAUAAUCUUGGGAAAUACAUGAAAAUGUUUUAAAAAUUAGUGUUUCAAGGGGUGGAAUGGGAGGUGGGGGAAAUGGUAAAAGUUACAGUUUUGUCCCUGGAGGGUUUUAAAUACCUCAGUGUGUCAGUGGCCUCUGAAAGGCUCCUGCUUCUGCUCUUUAGCCUGGAGGAACCCACUACCAAGUCAGUCUCCCUCAGUACAAAUACUACUGACAAUGUAAGAAUAUAAAACCUUCAAAUGUUAAAACAGUAUUUUCAUAUUAUCAAAUAAACAGACCACAUUUUCUAAGUACCUUUUCUAAGCAAGGCAUUGUGGAAAGCUGACAGACACGGAGAGGGAAGAGACAUAAAAAGAAGCUCUUCCCCAAGGAGUUUACACUCUGAAGUGUGGACUGAGCCAUGGAGGAGCCACCCAGACAAUUUGGGAACCUGAAUAUCUUAAUGCCUGGAAAAACAAGACAGAUCAUAGACAAAUGACUCAUCAUAGGAAAUAGUGUCGUGACAAAUUAAAAUUGACCCCUCCUACUUUGUUAUAUUCUAUUCACAGAAUAAUUUACUCUGUUAAUGUAAAACAAAAUAUUGAAUAUAAGUUGCUUGAAAGGAAGUCACUGAGUAAUAGCAUACUAGAACAAGGGCAUAACUAAAAUAGCACCUCGCACAGCAAUCUUGUAAAAGUCUAUGGCUCUCCCUAGGUCCCUCUGAGUGGAUGAAGAGAGCUGCGGGGUCCAGCCAGCCCCACGCUGUGACUGCUGUCCAAAUUCCAUCCUAAUAGUAUGCCUGUGGCUUAUUUGUAGAUUGUGGUCUCAUGUAAGCUCAGCUAAAGCAAAAUAUUUGUUCUGUUGAGGAAAAAAAGAAUAAGGAAGGAAGGAAAGGAGGAAGAAAGGAAGGAAAGGUGUGCCCAUUAAUGUAACUUCUUAUUUGGGAAACAAAUGAUUAUGCUGCAUUUGCACAUAAAGGAAGGAAAAAAGGAAAGAGGGAAUGCCGUGAAUCUAAAUCAACUCUCCUGUUAAGUAUGAGAAGUUAAGCAGUUAAGCCAAGGCUACAUCUUUUGCACAUCUCCUGACCAGUACAUUUACAGGUGUGUCAUGCUGAUGCAUUAACACCACCGGCACACACUGUGGUUUUCCCAUCCAAUAACCACCCCUGCUCCUUCUAUCCCUUUCUUUCAUCAGAGCCUGUAUUAAUUAUAUAUGGACCAUCCAUGUGCAACAGAGAAAACCAGGUCCUCUUCAGACCCAGCAGUGAAUCUUAAUCCACUAAAAUUAUGAUGUAGUGGAUAGUGAAUAUCUAUCAUGGGUAUGACUGCCCAUCAUCUUUUUUUGUGGGGGGGCACUGGGGAUUGAACUUGGGUCCUCGUGCUUAUGAAGCAGGGAGCAGAACCACUGAGCUAAAUUCCUGGCCCGCCCAUCAUCUUUCGAGUAGCCUUUUUAAACUGAGGGAAGAUUAGGAUAUGCUGAAGUUUGGUAUUAUAAAUUCUGCCCUGCUAAAGGAUAAGCCAGAAUGUCAAUUUAUAGACUUUUUUUGACUACUUUUUUCCCCUAUAGUAUUUUAAAACAAAUAAUAUGCAUCUUGCCAUUUUAUCAAUAAAUACCUCACCAUGCCAUUUUAAAACACAAUAAUAUCCAAUGUAACAUAUGAAUCCAUAUAUGAAUUUUCCUGAUUGUCUCAACAUAUACAUCUUUUUAUAGUUGGCUGGGUUGACCCACAAAGGUUCAGCUUUUUGCAUCUGAUUGUUAUAUUUCUUGAGUCUCUGUUAGUCUAAUGAAUCUUCUCCUUUCUUUUUUC